rnacentral:rRNA from 1 species
AGGGUGAACGCUGGCGGCGUGCCUAAGGUAUGCAAGUCGAACGAGCUCUUUCGGGAGCUAGUGGCGGACGGGUGAGUAACACGUUGGAACCUGCCUUUAAGUAGGGAAUAGCUCCGGGAAACCGGGAUUAAUACCCUAUAUGUCUUCGGAUGAAAGAUUUAUCGCUUAAAGAGGGUCCCGCGGCCGAUUAGCUUGUUGGUAGGGUAACGGCCUACCAAGGCGACGAUCGGUAGCUGGUCUGAGAGGAUGAUCAGCCACACUGGAACUGAGACACGGUCCAGACCCCUACGGGGGGCAGCAACUGGGAAUCUUGCGCAAUGGACGAAAGUCUGACGCAGCAACGCCGCGUGCAGGAUGACGGCUUCGGUUGUAACUGCUUUAUGUGGAGAUUAUGACGUACCACAUGAAUAAGGAUUGGCUAACUCCGUGCCAGCAGCCGC